AGCAAUAAGAAAUUUAAUCCAUUCAUCUUUGGCUUACAAGACCAAUGCUCUUUUUAAGCUAUUAUUGC
rnacentral:tRNA from 1 species